CACGUAUUUAGCCGUCGCUUCUUCUGCAGGUACAGUCACUUCCUUCCUCCCUGCUGAAAGCACUUUACGAUCCGAAAACCUUCUUCGUGCACACAGAAUUGCUAGAUCAGGGUUGCCCCCAUUGUCCAAUAUUCCCCACUGCUGCCUCCCGUAGGAGUAAGGGCCGUAUCUCAGUCCCCUUGUGGCCGUCCACCCUCUCAGGCCGGCUACCUAUCAUCGCCUUGGUAAGCCGUCACCUUACCAACCAGCUAAUAGGACGCAAAGCUCUCGGACGGCAUCCCUUUUCAUGGGCCAGCCAUGCAGCCAGCCCAUAGUAUCCGGUCUUGCCAGCCGUUUCCAGCUGUUAUCCCGGUCCAUCCGGCAAGUUCUUACGCGCUACUCACCCGUCCGCCAUGGUUGCCACGGCGCAAGCGCCGCUUCCCCAUCGACUUGCAUGUGUUAAGCAUUCUGUCAGCGUUCAUCCUGAGCCAGGAUCAAACUCU
rnacentral:rRNA from 1 species